AUGAACGCUAGCUACAGGCUUAACACAUGCAAGUCGAGGGGCAGCAUGGUCUUAGCUUGCUAAGGCCGAUGGCGACCGGCGCACGGGUGAGUAACACGUAUCCAACCUGCCGUCUACUCUUGGACAGCCUUCUGAAAGGAAGAUUAAUACAAGAUGGCAUCAUGAGUCCGCAUGUUCACAUGAUUAAAGGUAUUCCGGUAGACGAUGGGGAUGCGUUCCAUUAGAUAGUAGGCGGGGUAACGGCCCACCUAGUCUUCGAUGGAUAGGGGUUCUGAGAGGAAGGUCCCCCACAUUGGAACUGAGACACGGUCCAAACUCCUACGGGAGGCAGCAGUGAGGAAUAUUGGUCAAUGGGCGAGAGCCUGAACCAGCCAAGUAGCGUGAAGGAUGACUGCCCUAUGGGUUGUAAACUUCUUUUAUAAAGGAAUAAAGUCGGGUAUGGAUACCCGUUUGCAUGUACUUUAUGAAUAAGGAUCGGCUAACUCCGUGCCAGCAGCCGCGGUAAUACGGAGGAUCCGAGCGUUAUCCGGAUUUAUUGGGUUUAAAGGGAGCGUAGAUGGAUGUUUAAGUCAGUUGUGAAAGUUUGCGGCUCAACCGUAAAAUUGCAGUUGAUACUGGAUAUCUUGAGUGCAGUUGAGGCAGGCGGAAUUCGUGGUGUAGCGGUGAAAUGCUUAGAUAUCACGAAGAACUCCGAUUGCGAAGGCAGCCUGCUAAGCUGCAACUGACAUUGAGGCUCGAAAGUGUGGGUAUCAAACAGGAUUAGAUACCCUGGUAGUCCACACGGUAAACGAUGAAUACUCGCUGUUUGCGAUAUACGGCAAGCGGCCAAGCGAAAGCGUUAAGUAUUCCACCUGGGGAGUACGCCGGCAACGGUGAAACUCAAAGGAAUUGACGGGGGCCCGCACAAGCGGAGGAACAUGUGGUUUAAUUCGAUGAUACGCGAGGAACCUUACCCGGGCUUAAAUUGCAGAUGAAUUACGGUGAAAGCCGUAAGCCGCAAGGCAUCUGUGAAGGCGCUGCAUGGUUGUCGUCAGCUCGUGCCGUGAGGUGUCGGCUUAAGUGCCAUAACGAGCGCAACCCUUGUUGUCAGUUACUAACAGGUUCUGCUGAGGACUCUGACAAGACUGCCAUCGUAAGAUGUGAGGAAGGUGGGGAUGACGUCAAAUCAGCACGGCCCUUACGUCCGGGGCUACACACGUGUUACAAUGGGGGGUACAGAGGGCCGCUACCACGCGAGUGGAUGCCAAUCCCAAAAACCUCUCUCAGUUCGGACUGGAGUCUGCAACCCGACUCCACGAAGCUGGAUUCGCUAGUAAUCGCGCAUCAGCCACGGCGCGGUGAAUACGUUCCCGGGCCUUGUACACACCGCCCGUCAAGCCAUGGGAGCCGGGGGUACCUGAAGUGCGUAACCGCGAGGAGCGCCCUAGGGUAAAACUGGUGACUGGGGCU
rnacentral:rRNA from 1 species